AGCCUCCUUCUCGAUGAGAAUGGGCGCUGUUGAUUACAGUGUCCAGAAACUGUUAAUGGGGUUACACUGAGACACAGCUUACGCUUCCAUCGCAGUAAAUCCAUUGCCAUGGUGACAGUGAGAUCUGUGACGUUU